GCAAAUGAUAGCUCAGUUGAUUAGAGCCUGGUGCUGAUAAUGCCAAGGUUGCAGGUUUGAUCCCCAGACAGCUGCAUUGCA